UACGGGGGGGCAAGCGUUGUUCGGAAUUACUGGGCGUAAAGGGCUCGUAGGCGGCCAACUAAGUCGGACGUGAAAUCCCUCGGCUUAACCGGGGAACUGCGUCCGAUACUGGAUGGCUUGAGUUCGGGAGAGGGAUGCGGAAUUCCAGGUGUAGCGGUGAAAUGCGUAGAUAUCUGGAGGAACACCGGUGGCGAAGGCGGCAUCCUGGACCGACGACUGACGCUGAGGAGCGAAAGCCAGGGGAGCAAAGCGGG
rnacentral:rRNA from 1 species